AGGCCUACGGGCACAGCAGUGGGGAAUAUUGCACAAUGGGGGAAACCCUGAUGCAGCGACGCCGCGUGAGUGAAGAAGUAUUUCGGUAUGUAAAGCUCUAUCAGCAGGGAAGAAAAUGACGGUACCUGACUAAGAAGCCCCGGCUAACUACGUGCCAGCAGCCGCGGUAAUACGUAGGGGGCAAGCGUUAUCCGGAUUUACUGGGUGUAAAGGGAGCGUAGACGGUGAUGCAAGUCAGAAGUGAAAGCCCGCGGCUCAACUGCGGGCCUGCUUUUG
rnacentral:rRNA from 1 species